rnacentral:tRNA from 1 species
CAUUAGGUGGCUGAAAGCAAGCAGUGGAAUUUUAAACCGCAUUAUGAUAGAAUAGCUCCUAUUCCUAAUG